rnacentral:rRNA from 1 species
AGGCAGCAGUGAGGAAUCUUGCGCAAUGGGCGAAAGCCUGACGCAGCCACGCCGCGUGCCGGAAGACGGCCCUAUGGGUGGUAAACGGCUUUUGGAAGGGAAGAACGUACGAGUUUCGACUUGUAGUGACGGUACCUUCUGAAUAAGCACCGGCUAACUCC